UACCCCUCAACUUAAACGGACACUCACAUUUUCUCGUGCCAGACACACUAGGUUGCACGUCUUGCUUAUACUUCCUAUAUUUCCCACUCCUUUCACAGCCUAACACAACAAAUGUCUUUCUUCCAGGUUCACCAGUUGUUGUGUCAGAUCUUAUGAUGACGACCAUAAAUCCAAGCUGAAAUGCAAUCUUUCGAACCCAAUCAAUCAUAUCGUCGCG
rnacentral:lncRNA from 1 species